rnacentral:rRNA from 1 species
UGGGGAAUAUUGGACAAUGGGCGCAAGCCUGAUCCAGCCAUGCCGCGUGGAUGAAGAAGGCCUUAGGGUUGUAAAGCCCUUUCAGUCGUGACGAUGAUGACGGUAGCGACAGAAGAAGCCCCGGCUAACUCCGUGCGAGCAGCCGCGGUAAUACGGAGGGGGCAAGCGUUGUUGGGAUUUACUGGGCGUAAAGGGCGCGUAGGCGGACGGUCAAGUCAGAGGUGAAAGGCCCGGGCUCAACCUGGGACGUGCCUUUGAAACUGAUUGUCUUGAGUGCGGAAGAGGGUGACGGAAUUCCCAGUGUAGAGGUGAAAUUCGUAGAUAUUGGGAAGAACACCGGUGGCGAACGCGGUCACCUGGUCCACAACUGACGCUGAGGCGCGAAAGCGUGGGGAGCAAACAGGAUUAGAUACCCGUGUAGUCC